UACGGAGGGGGCUAGCGUUGUUCGGAAUUACUGGGCGUAAAGCGCACGUAGGCGGCUUUGUAAGUUAGAGGUGAAAGCCCGGGGCUCAACUCCGGAAUUGCCUUUAAAACUGCAUCGCUUGAAUCCAGGAGAGGUGAGUGGAAUUCCGAGUGUAGAGGUGAAAUUCGUAGAUAUUCGGAAGAACACCAGUGGCGAAGGCGACUCACUGGACACGUAUUGACGCUGAGGUGCGAAAGCGUGGGGAGCAAACAGGG
rnacentral:rRNA from 1 species